AUUGAACGCUGGCGGCAUGCCUUACACAUGCAAGUCGAACGGCAGCACGGGGCAACCUGGUGGCGAGUGGCGAACGGGUGAGUAAUGCAUCGGAACGUACCUUUCAGUGGGGGAUAACGUAGCGAAAGUUACGCUAAUACCGCAUAUUCUGUGAGCAGGAAAGCAGGGGAUCGCAAGACCUUGCGCUGAUUGAGCGGCCGAUGUCAGAUUAGCUAGUUGGUGAGGUAAAGGCUCACCAAGGCGACGAUCUGUAGCGGGUCUGAGAGGAUGAUCCGCCACACGGGAACUGAGAAACGGUCCAGACUCCUACGGGAGGCAGCAGUGGGGAAUUUUGGACAAUGGGGGCAACCCUGAUCCAGCCAUGCCGCGUGAGUGAAGAAGGCCUUCGGGUUGUAAAGCUCUUUCGGCCGGGAAGAAAUCGCACGGGCUAAUACCCUGUGUGGAUGACGGUACCGGAAUAAGAAGCACCGGCUAACUACGUGCCAGCCGCCGAGUAAGAC
rnacentral:rRNA from 1 species